rnacentral:rRNA from 1 species
GUGGAUUAGAUACCCUGGUAGUCCACGCCGUAAACGAUGGGCACUAGGUGUGGGAGGUGUCGACUCCUCCCGUGCCGGAGCUAACGCAUUAAGUGCCCCGCCUGGGGAGUACGGCCGCAAGGCUAAAACUCAAAGGAAUUGACGGGGGCCCGCACAAGCAGCGGAGCAUGUGGUUUAAUUCGACGCAACGCGAAGAACCUUACCUGGGCUUGACAUGUACCUGACCUCCCUGGAAACAGGGAUUCUCUUCGGAGUAGGUUCACAGGUGGUGCACGGUCGUCGUCAGCU